UUUCUAUCGAGCAGCAUCCGACAACGGUCUUUCGCCUCUCGAGGAAAGAAGCCUUUGUCGAACGGCCGGCACAAAGAAGUCGGCCUGCCCUCCCGCGCUCUUUUCUCCAUCGGGCGGAGUGCUACUUACAGAAAUCACGGUGCAGCGUGCUACUUACGUCAUAUAAAUGGAGAGAACGAGCGAUACAAGAAGCGCACGGUGGAAGGAGGCAACCCGUUGGAAGCUUUUCGCGGUAAUGCCGGGAGUACGCCUGCUUGUCAUCGGAAGAGCUUUCCUUGUUCUUGGUGCGCGUUGUGGACAAUGGCGAGAAAACACUCUCGUGCUAACCAUCCACCCCCAUUUCUCUCUCUAUCUCUCUGUUUCUCUCUCUCUCGUUUCUUCUCACAACUUGUGCAUCGUCUCGCAGGUAUUCUACGCUCGCGCGCGUUGCUCUUCAUGACGCUGCGAGUAGCACGACGAGAGCGAGGAGACAAAGUCUCCUCAGUGUUUUCCCUCCGCCUUUCUUCCUGAAUCACGCGUAUCGCUCUGGUUCUUCGUUACCUGAGGGUAUGCAGUCGGAGCUCGAGACGCGCAGCUUCUCACCCCGCUCGCGCGUUUGCCGUGGAUUAAGCGCAGGAGUUGGAGAACGCCUUCAGGAAUUCAAGAAAGCGGACGCCGCUGAAUGCGUCGAGGAGGUAUGUGCCUUCUGCCGUCUCUUUCUGUUCCUUUCUCGAAGGGCCGCAGCCCGACGAAAAAGGAAACGGCUGAGAGGACGCGAAGGAAAACGUAAUGCGCUCGAGGAUUGUCUCUGUCUCUCUUCCCCUCUUUCUCUCUUUUUUUCUCUCCGCGUGACGACAUCUAUAAAGCUACGCGGUCCCUAGAAGCUUUAGCUAGCGCGAGUUCGCGCUCGGGAGUUCUAAGAGCCAAGUAUCAAAAAGCGAGACAACACACGUGCGGCAGCAAAAUAAUUGCGCCGAUAAUAUCUCGCCGCGCAAACUGUUUGCAUUUGUGAAUAACGCGCGCGAAACAAUGUGUCUCCUCCGACAAUACCGUGACGUGUGCGGGCAACGCGUAGCGUUACGUUAAUUACCAGCCGAAAUGAGGUGGAUUUGAUAAAGAGCGCGGAAAACAAUCGGUGAUCGUUUCGCACUGGGGAUAUCUAACACGCUCGUGUGCUUCUUCUUGGUCUCGUAUCCACGUGACGGGUAGGUGUGUCACACCGACACACAAUGUCCCGUCAUAAAUGGCUAAACGACAAUAUAAUUUUCUGCGGUGCACAGAGUCCCCGAAGCGCGACAAAUAGUGACAGGAAGCGCGUGUCCACUGGACCAAGUAUCCUUGGUGGAAGCUUCCACUUUCACGGAGGAAAUGGCCUCUCGCUCCUUCCGUCCCCGAGAGGAAAGCGCGCCGGCCGAUGAACGGCGAUGAUACACCUAACGAUCCGCGCAACAAAAAGCUCGUUUAUUAGCGUAAUUUGACUUUUUUUCAUCAUGCUUCAUUAUAUCAUAUUUCUUCGCCGCACUGGAUAUAGCGACAGGUGAUCGACUUUAAAAUAACACACAUGCCUAUCGUGUUUCAAAAGUAUACAUUCCGAGUAUUCGACAGAAAAAAAACAAUGUAAUGUUUAUACUAUCCUCUGUGCCGACAUCGAAGCGACGAAAAGUGAUAUUGAAAAUCGAAGAGAACGCGGAGGAAAAUGUGCACGUAAAAAUGUUUCGAUACGGCUCCGACGUAUAACUGUUCCGCAAAAGUACAUGCGAUGAAGCACGGGCGUACUCGCACGAAAAAUUACGUAUUAUUCGUCGUAUCGUUAUCACUCCUUUACGAUAGAUUAAUCCUAGAACGCUGGAAAGUACCUACACGUAUAAAACCGACGCAUCGUUGACGUCUCUCUUUAAUCGAACGUUGUUGUUGUAAAACAUUUUAAUAAAUAAUGCAUUUCUUGGAGUGUCCAUAAAAUCGACAAAUCUCUAUAAAAAAAAACGUGCAACUAAUAAAAGUGACCAUUUCUCAUUCCAUAUUUAUUCGUGUCGGGUCAUUGCACGAUACUCGAAAGAUCGCCGGAUGAGGGCUUGCGAAACGUAACCGGAAGCACGCGCGUGUGCUGGACCAGCCAGUCUCGCCUGGAAGCCCUCAAUUUUCCAGAGGAAGCGGGGGGUUCUCCUUCCGUUCUCUUGACGGAAGAUAGGAGGAGAAAGAGGAGGAGAAACGGGAAAGAGAGGCGACGAGAGAUCCGAUCGGCGACUGGUAAAAGGACUACGCACCAUAGUGGGAGGAAUCAAGGGACAAGGGAGAGAUGCGAGGGGAGAAAGAGCGCGUGCGAGGGAGGAGAGUGCGUGAGAGGAGUGCCGCGCUAAGGGGAACGGUGGAGCGAUACCUGUGCGACUGUCUGUCGUCCGGAUGUCCGUUGUUUUGUUACAAUCACGUAUCUGUGCGUUUUACGCGGGUACGGUAUAUCGGCAUGUCGGCGCUCACGGACCAACACCACCAGCCGAUCCAGGAUGUAAGCCUCGUAACUGGGGGGUUGGGCUCGAGUGGACGCCGUAGCGCGGCGCCGAAAGGUGCGGACGCGUGUUCCGGCCUUGGCGGCCGUGUAUCAUUGUACCCGCAACGGAAAUGAUGUCUUAAUUGAUCCGCCGCUCUUCUGCCCGCCUGGGAGACGAGGCCUGGCCGACGAGCUAGGCGAGGCCGCGAUGUCCGCGAGCUUCCUAUUAUACCGCGCUGGAUCAUGUAACAAGCGAUGCAUGAGAGCAGGCUAAAUGAUCUCAAGUGUCAUUCACAGUUUUGCGUCGCGAUCUGAAGACGAGGAAGUUCGCGGCAGAUCUCUUUAAUUUUCCACGUAAGCCUCUCACUUUCCACCCAGCUUUACGGCCUCGGGUAGCGUUGCCGAAUAUUUUUAUGGCUAAACGGAAGAACAAACACCAAUAAGAGGGGCGAGUGUAUCGACACCCGGUGCAUCUCGUCGUCGUCGGCCGUAAACUAGCCAGGGCGAACUUGGAGCAGUAAAGAGGAGUCGUAAUACACGCGGGGCGACAUAACGAGUCGCUCGACUACAUAACAAAGUAUUAUAAAAGCAUUUUAUUGUUCGCGGGAAAACGAGCCGAGGCAUCGCUCGCGCGAGACCGGAAUUUCGCCAGGCGUUGCGCGUUUAUGCGUUUCUUUCCAACGUGACAGCCGCGGUUUCCUCGACAAGAAAGUACCUCGGCCACGCUGUCGGACGCGUAACGUUUUAUUCGAUCCUCUCGAGCACCCGCCAAGUUUUAACACUCCGCGAACGCAAUGUACUUUCGCAUCGACGUCUCUACAAAACGCGGAAGCAUUCCGAACAGUUUAGCUCAAUUUGCGAGCUCGGUUUUUCUCGGUUACUCUGCAUUAAACAAUGUAAACGACGCCACGAUAAACGAUUUUUUUUCUUAAAUUCUAUGAAUCUGCAAUCGAUUACAACUGCGAUCAAUUGCAGUUGCAUCAUGAUACAUAUGUCCGUACAUGUACGGUUCUGAUGUGCAGAAGACUCGGCACUUGGUGCAGUUCUCCAUACGCAUAUAGAUACUCCCUAAAGGGUAAAAGGAGUCGUAUCCGCCACGGAAACGCACAAUGGGCCCGUACGCACACGUUUACGCGCCGUCGUGCCCGCGCAAUUACUCCCCCGCACACGGAGCUGUAUCGCACACGUGUGUUUGUAGGCACUCGACAAGCGCGCGCGGCUCGUGCGUGAGCAUGUGCGUAUCCGCGCGUUGCACGCGAGGCGUCUUUCUCUCGUCACGAAUCCGCAACAAGUUUGUCACGCUAUUUAUCUUUAUUUAUCAGGUGUUUUAUUUGUCAAGAUUCGUCGGAAAUAUCGUAUACAUUAAUUACACUUCCCACUUUAUUCAAAUGAUUUUUAAAACGGUACAUAAUUUGUAACAAAGUUUCACGUCUAAUUCUUCAAGACGUCCGAAUACGCGAGAAGCUUCAGGCAAGCCGCAAAAGGAUUCUUUCUCGCCAGACUGACCUGCGAGCGGCACCAAGAAGAGGUCGCCUCUUGGAGAGGCAAGUGGUCGCCGGCGAGUAAAGAAAGGAAAGCCAAAGGAGAAAAGAAUCCUACAAGUAGAUUCUCCUUCGAGAAAGAGAAAGAGAGAAUAAGAGUGAGACGGAGUACGCGCUCUGUAGAACGGGAGAGCGAAUCGGGGAGAUGAAAAGGGAAGGAGGGAUUACGGUCGUGAGUUUGUCGAGGGACGAUGGCCAGGGACGAAGAGGGGUAACUCAAGACGGGUCUAAGUGAGUCUUCCGGCCGGCAGGCAAUGAUAGCCCUGAGAACUGACCCGACCCCCGGAUAUGUGUUGCGCAUAUAUGUGGGGACACAGACACGAGAGUGUGUCCGAUGUGUCAUAACAUCGCGCGUCUCCGUUCGGCCGGCCGGGAUCUCUGAUGAUGGCUUAUUUCAUAAAUCGGAGAUCCGCGACGAGCUAGACAUGAUCAUGCGCUCGCUUCAUCAGUUACGCAGACUCUGUGCGACGAUGUCAAUUUGCUUUGCACUGCUGCAAGUCUGCUUCUCAGCUUCUUGUCGGAACGAAUAAAAGUGUUUUUCACAUACAUGGAUUUGAUAUAAUUGAUUGUUACAUAAUUGCUCUCAAGUUCGUUCAAACGUUUGUUGCUCGUUGUUGAUCGGUCAACUCGAAUUAGCUGAAAGAUUCCGGGAAAAACGUCGGAUGCACCGUAUGCGCAGAAACUACGCAAGAUCCGCGAAAUCAUGACAAAGGAUGACAUAAUAGGCCGACGCCUACUCCUGGCCUUGCCGCUGUCAGAUAAUUGCCUUAGCGUGCGAGCGGUCCGCGUAAGAGAACGUACUCACGCAAAUCACGUUGCACACGCGCGCGCACAACACUUGUUAUACAAUUCUGUGAAAUGGACUCAACAAUUUACAUGAUGUGCAUUUCAACCUGAAUUAUUGGAGAUAAAGAUAGAUAGAUAGAGGAGAGAGAGAGAGAGAGAGAAAUUAAUAAAGUCUUUUCGUUUGCAGAAAAGAUGCCACAUCAUUAUCGUUUAACGAUCAUUAAUUUAUCGCAUCUUACGUGCGAUUUAAAUCCUAAUGAGUGCCACGCGGGAAGUUUCUGCUCUUAAUGACGUCAAAGAGAGGAUAAGAGAGAUAGAGAGACAGAGAGACGUGGCGUAGCUCGUACAACGAUCGAUGCGUUUCGAGCGCGACUAAAACACUCAUUUGUCUUCGUAACCACUUUGCUUGUCAAAUCAGCCACCCUAUUAUCGCGCGGGUGUCAUUAGACGCCUGAGAUUUAAACGACCGUUUUGAGCUAAUAUCCUGACGACACAGACAAGUUUCGAAAGAUGGUUAAGUGCCUCGCGAAUAAUACUGCCACUACGUCACUUCUUGAAAGGAUGAUAGCAAGGAUGAAACUUGCACGCGCGUUAUUAACAAGACGUCGCGUCCACCGUAAUUACGCUAAACUGCCGUGUAUGACUUUGCGUGCGCUUCUAUAGCCUUAAAUGCAAAGAUAAUGUCACCGUGUAUACGCAAUUACGUAUUGAUCGCAGUUACCUCCAGUACGGCUAAAAGAAAUAUAAAUGCUGCUUGAUUAUGCAUCUCUUGCGUUACCCGCAUCGAAACGAUUUUUCAAAAAAAAAAGAAAAAGAGAAAGAAAACGAACCACAUCGGAAAAACGCAGUUUAUAUUUUACUCGACAUUGAACGGAAUAAUUACUUAAUACGCCUUCGUCAAUAAUUCAAUGAUCACGUCACGCUUGACCGUGCGAGUCGCACCGACUCCGGAAAAGGGGAUUCACGACGGCUGCGGCCGGAGGGAAUGCCUGCGGAAAGAGGCGGUUGCGACACGCUUCCGUGUCCAACAUCGCGUCUCUUAUUUGCCAAUUCGGAAGUAAUGUAAAUAAUCGCGCCAUCACGAACGCAAUCGCGGCACGAAUGGCCGGACCUGGUCUCUUUUUCAGGAGACGAGGUCCACUGACCACGUGAGACCGCGCGAGAAAGUUUAGACGCGGUCGCGCGCCGUCCGCUCGUAACGCAUGCCAGGUCAAUACUUGCACGCUCCUCGCGACCGUCCAGGUGUAUCGCCUUCCGCAGCAUUGUCAACAAGUUCCGGAUCUGAGAUACCCGCCUAUCUAUCUCGGCAUUUUUAUUCGGCCUCCGCUGACCGGUCGCAAUCAAUCCUUCCCGCUUUUCAUCGCGCGCGCUCGCGCGCGGACGCCCGGGUGACUCAUUCCAUUUCUUAAUGAGGUCUAUUGCCUCUCCCUCUCUAAGCUGCCAGCUUCAUCCGUUUCGUCGUGACCGCUCUAUUUCCUCGCGUUUCUUUUUGAAGACCCGGUUGACCCGGCGCGGAAGCGACGUUUCACACUCGCGGAUUCCAUGCACAACGCGUCCAAGGCAUUUCUGUUGCGCGCGUGUCACGAUGUGAGUCGUGGAGAUCAAUUACCCAUGUGAGCGGAAAUGCAAAAGAAUUUUUGCGUCCCGUCGUUGCCUCAUACGUUCUUCGCUCGAAUGUCAUCAAGCGCGUAUCUCGCAAAGACAAUGGAGGAGGCAACGUUGAAGGUUCCGGGUUGCAAAUGCCGCUGCGCGCGGUACCAAUAGAUUCGAAACGAUGCGCGUCCAUCUCUGCAACGGGUUGCCCUUGUGGCGGAAUAUCGUUCACGUCCCUUCACGUCCCAUUACGAGGCCUCGAUGUAACCAUGUAAACCCUGUUUAAUUAACGCGUGGACUGAAAGAGGAGGAAUUUCCGAUAUAUCUCCGACGCGUCGCGUCGCGUCGGUGCAUAGGGCAUCACGAUGAUGAUGAUCGUAUGUUCGUGAUAGAGAUGGUCGAGACGAUGGCGUACGUAGAGGUCUAUCUGUAGGGGCUGCAGUAGGCAGAGGCGAAACGUCGGUAGUGAUCGUGGCGGCGACGAUGGUGGUGGUUGGAGUACUUGAGAGAGCUCGCCGUUUCCCUUAUUCCUUCAAUCAACGUCAGCUGGGGAGGCGAGUCUAGUAUGUACCCUGAGCAAAUACUCGCAUGCCCCGCACUAGAGCAGCAUAGAGCUCAAUGACUACAUCAUCGUCGAGAUGGUAGUUAGACUAGACGCAUCUUUGCCUUCUCUCUCUCUCUCACUCUUUCUUCCCCUCUUUAGCUUUUUCUUCUUCUCCCCCCCCUCUCUCUCUCUCUCUCAACGCACAAUCAUCAUCAUCGAUCUUUUUCGCGAUGACAUAAAUGACUGCUAAACGACUGCUAAACUCAGCGCGAUUGAAUGCAUGAAAUCAUGAAGAUUCCGUGAGAGAAACACAGAAUAAAAAGGAGAUUCCUGAAUAAAUUCGGAACGUAUCCGAUCGAUACCUCGAUGAUCACCAACAAAAAUAACGCUAUCAAAAUGGAGAGGAAAUUCAGUUAAGAAACAUUUGAAAUAAACUGCCUCGCUCGCAAUCCUUCGUAUUUGCAAACGGGAUUCAGAGAUAUUAUGAAGAAGCAUUGUUCUAUAAGAAAAUAGCGUUAUUUUCUUAACAAUAUUUAUAGAAACGAUACUUGAAAUGGCGAUGGCCAAGCUCCAAUAUCGAAGAGAUCAUAAUAACAAAAUCGAUUGUCAUAUCAGAUUAGAGUAAUAGAAAAUCAAUAUCGAGUAAUCAUAAAAACUGGAAUAACAGAAGAUUAAUUCGAGCAACAUAAUCAUUAAUUCAUCCGCUCAUCUUAACGUAUCGAAGACGAGCGGGUACGAAAGAAUCUCGUUAAAAUAGGAAGGAAGGGAGCCGGAUACGUGCUUAUAUACGUGUACAUACGAGUGCAUCACGGGACAUCUAAAUAAGCUGUUUAGACGACUUCAAGUUAACCCAAAUUGACUCAAUUGGAUUAACCGAGCCACGGUUCACCCGACACUUGGGAACCGGCCCGUACCGGCGUCAUCGCGUAUCCGCGAGAGAGCCAGUCUUUUGCUUCUCAUGCAAAUAAUGCGUCGCGCGUUAUUUCCAGCUCUUUAACCCUCGUCGUCCCCGCGUUCUCCGACCGAGAGAUCCCUUUUCUCACACGGCCCUCUCCCUCCUUCGCCUCGCGUUCGCGAAUUCAGCUGGUUAGCUGAAUUGACGGCGUUUGGGAAAAUUGCCUCGUAUCCUCAUCAGGUCGCAGCGUCACCCGGGCUCGCUCGGUAGGAGGCCCUCCUCUCCUCUCGCGAAAGAGCGAGCGUAAUGCGCGCGUACACGACGAUGAGACACGCGCACGAGCAAUCAUGCCGAGUAUCCUUCGAACACGGUACAUGAUGAGUGCACACCACCUUCCCCGCCGCUGAUCGUCGUGGAUCAGCAAGAGUCUUCCGCUCCUCGAGCCCAGUAUACGCGUGACCCGCUGACGUACGUCACCCCUCCGUGUCCUGUCUCUCAUAUCAAUUUAUGGCGGGGGCCGCGGAAGGAAGAGACGACUGAUAGGAACGAGCGAUAGCGGAGGAGAGCUCGUCACGGCUUACGUAUGAAUGUAGAAUCGGAAGGGAUGUUGGGGAUUGGAGUGUCCGCUUCUUGGCGAUCCCCGUCCCCUCGGUCCCCUCGAGUCGAUGUUGCGUUGGUGUUGCUCCUCCAUCAGCGGCGACGUGCCCCUUUUUUCCUUCGUCUCCCUCUCUCCCUGCCUGCUUCGACGAGGCUCUCCAUCUUCGUCAUCGAUGCAUUUCAGCGCUCUUGCUCUGUCUUCCUCUCUGGGAUGCUCUCCGCGAUAUAUGGGAUCGUCGGAAGUCACCUUCCUCAUUAUCAUACCAACAGGCCACUCGCUCACUCGGACGCAGCCUUCAUCCUGUGCCCUAGUCACUUACGGCUCGCGGGUGACCAACCCAAGAGUAACCCGGUCCACGAGCAGUCGUUCGAAAGGGCUGACCGGGGAUCGUAUGAGUUAGCUCGAGAGCCACUGGCCUGGGGGACAAGACGCAAGUCCAUUAUACUCAAUCACGGCGUGAUUGGCUCAAACGAUCAGACCACCGCUUGCCGCGCGUCGCUCCGCGGAGAUUCGCGCGGACGUGCCACGUCGCAUCUGUCUACGCCAAGAAGGAGAGCUCCCGUUUUUCCAUCGGCACGAUUUUCGACGAUCCUGCUGAUCAAUUAUUCUCUCAUUAUUUUUUCGAUGGCAACUGUUGCAAGCAGAAAGCUUACGAGACAAUAUUCCUUCGCGAAUAAAUUAUUCGUUGCUUUAUAUGAAAAAUUCAGCGGUUUUGUCGAGAUGCAAAACCUUGCAAAGUGCGGGAAUUAUUCAAGAAGAAGGAUCUUGGAGAUCUCACGUGCUGGCCUUGUGUCCCUCAUUGAUCAGUAGCAACCAUCAGAUCUGUUACUCGCUGGGGCGAUACCCGAUCGAUAGCUAGCAGCUACCAGGUGUUUCCAGCUCUGAGGGCGACCAAAGAAAUGGCAGCUUCCAGACGCUUUCGUGGAGACAUCGCGUCGUUAUACGUCGCGCAAACACACGAACUUUGGCAAUUGAAUAUAAUUAUGUAAUCCCGACUAUUCGACGAUGCGCGCGGUAUGAUUGCCAUUGUCGGAAAAAGUGGAAAACACGUUGGCGAACUGCCAUAAGAAGACUGCGCCUCGAAAUAGCGACGACAAUAAUGCCGGUAAUCCUGGACGCUCUUGGCUGCCAAUAUGCCGCGAACGUAUCUCCAUAAUUGCCUCGAAGAGCAGCCUGCGGCCAAUAAAAGACGGACGGAAGAAAAAGACGAAAAUCUAUCGUUAAACCUGCUCCUUCUUCUCGUCGAUUGGUCUCUUCAGUCAUGUUACCUCCAAAAAUUCGAGCCUUGUGAAAUGAAGCUUUGUAAAAAAUUUUUUAUUUUUAUUCUUUACAUUUUUCAUGAUAUAUCUAUCUAUGUAACUGUAAAUUUACGCCUCGAGAGAUCGCUGUAGAAGCACGACGUCGAAAGCCAGCGGAAACCGUUACUGCUUCCCGGCACGAGCCAGCCGGUAAUAUAUUCGUGUGUUUCUUAAGACGUUAGAAAGCUGGGCUCCGUUCAGCCCCAAGACGUUAGGGGAACCUUAGUGGGGUACAACAAUGACAACAAGAAGCCGAAACGUCGGUUAGGCAUCGAGGCGGCAGCUGGCACGCGCUCUUUCCGUGUCGUAAGGAGGCAUUUUUACCUUCUUCGCCCUUCUUCUUCGUCUUUCCUUUUCGAUGGGGCGAGCUCCCAAGGGGAAACCGAGUCUCGAGAAGUUACCUCGAUCGGGCCUGCAGUCAGGAAAUACCUGGACAUUUAAAUCGGGGACGCCACCCGGCAAACCACCUGAAUGCUACCGAGGGGGCCUCCUUGAUCUUGCAGUGUCGUCGGCAACGGGGCCCCGCAUUUUCAAGAUUGUGUCAAGAUCAUUGAUUCUUUUAAUUUAGUUUUCAGUGAAUUUUUUCUUUUAACGAUAAAAUUUUACGUUACAGUAACUAUACAAUUCUUAUCUACUCACGUUCUUAAACUUUGUAAAUUUGAUACUUUGUAAAUUUGAUACUAAAAUUAUUAGGCAAUCACUUUACAAAAUCCGAAUCAGGUACGAGCAAUAUAACAUUAUAAACCGUACGCUUUAAUGAUGUCUAAAUUAAUGAAAUGCAGCUGAUAAUGCAGCUUUAACAAGCUUCAUUGAUUUUACUUUUACGCGAUGCUCGUAAAUAAAUAUAAAUACAAAAAUUGAAUUGGCCAGCGUAAUUGAUCCAAUAUCCGUUAAUUUUAAUAUUUAACGCUGUAAAUCAUUAAAUAAAACGACUAUUUUUCGGACUAUAUAAAUUCUCCAUUUUCCAUGUAGCGCAGCUUGGCUGCCACAACUGUCUACGCCAUUGAGGGCAAGGACCGUUGUUCCUACUUCCUUUUCCGAGGGAAGACCAAGGGCGUCGCAGGACUUUUUUGUAACUACCUUCAAUAUCAGACGUUAGCGUUUCCCACCACGAGAAGUCAUGGGAACGCAUUAGAGAAAACGGUCGCGCGAACGUCUCGGAGAUUCGUGUCUUGGAAAAUCCCAUCGAUCAUUGAUCCCGCGUGAAGGGAACGCCACCGUUGAAUCGACUUCACCCUUCUCUAGUUUCCCGAAGAAAAUCUUGCGAGCAUCUCUCGUAUCGCUGCGGAGCAACGCCGAACGAGAGCUACAUGGUCGCAACGUGCAAACCUGGGAAAAACGGCGGCGCUCAUUAUCGCGUACUAUCUGCAUCGGCAUGAAUGGGAACCGAAAUCGAAAUGAAAACGAGAGAAGGUCAUGCUCGCGUGUCAGGAAUAACACAAGCGUGGCGUUGACCCACAUUGUUUUUGAAACGCGAUUAAACUCAUUGAAAACGACCGAAGGUAGAUUAAUGGCGUCGGGGCGCGUAACCGCGAAAAGCGGGGCAAAAAGCGAAACAAAUUUAACGAGCUGUGAAUUAUGAAAAUCGGUGACAGGCCGCCGCUUUUAAAUGCUCUCUCGCGCUCUCUCCGGCUCGCGGCGAUCCGGCUCGACUAUCAUUCUCUCUCUGUCUCCCUCUCUCGCCCACCAGUUUGGUUUGGGCGCGUGCCAGUGUGUGUUGAAUCGAAACGAUUCGAAUGCAAAAUAAUAAUAAAACAGUGGGGCUCGUUGAAGGCGGAUACGGUGGGCGUCGGGGGUGGAGGAGCGGGUAGACGACAGAGAGGCGGGGUCGGCAGCGCAUUAACGCAAUUAACCUCCAAUUAAUAACACAUCAAUUGACACCCGGUCAACUUGUUGCAUCAGAGCAGGCCGAUAAUAUGCUGAACGCGUGUGAACCGUGUGUGUACGUACACAAUGUGCCGCGGCGUGUGCGGCACCGACGCGUGUGAGUACCUUCGGCGUACAUUUCGCUCGUGCGUGUGUGCGCGUGUGCGCGUUUGCGCUUAGCCAAGACCACGGGGUUGGACGUGUUCGUGUGAUCGCGGAUACGUGUUACCGGCGAGGGUGGCGAUCCCCCGCGCGUCCUAGGCGUAAUGACGAAACGAAUGUUACAAUAAUUUUAUAUAUCAAGGGGGAUCGGCACAAGAGCACAUCGGCACAGGGGUACAUACCUAAGCGGUGGCGUGCGUGUAGACACGACGGACAUGGACUGAUGACCACAGUCGAGUUCCCAUGCAACCCCCUGCGAGCACUCUCGCCACAUGACACCUACAGGGGGUGGAAUUCCGAUGCACAUGCCAUUACUGUGUUACCUCGACAACGCCAUGUGGGGUACGUGCGCCAUGUGAUGCUCAGGAACUCCCGAGCUAUAUCCUUCCGCUUCUUCACGGUACCUCGUGAGGGAAGGAAGCAGAAAUUGUGGCUCGCACGAGAACACGGCGGAACGUAUUUAUGUAAUGCUGGGAUACUUUGCCGCUCGAUAAAAUUCGCAGUCGUGCAAAUUGCGGGAAUGGCACAACCGACAACUCGUUUGCACGGAUCGCGAGUCUUCGUCACGUCACGUACUUAGGAAAGCGAUCGCUCGUUGUAAUAUUGGCUAUCACCUUGAAGUUCCAUCGAGGGCUCCCCAUGCGUUAACUAUCCUACGUAUUACUUGCGGACCCUAUCACUAUGCGCUGUAAUCAUGCCUUGAAAUCUACCCACCUGCUUAAAUGGUAAAUAUCGCAUGACGCACAGGAUGUGAUCAUUGAUUUACCAAUGUUGUUGCAGUCUGAUCUUAUUGAUUCUUGACACGCUGACUGACCUUGUAUUUAUAGAAAUAAUUUUUGAUUUUCCCUCGCGAACUUAACUGAGAUAUUUUUCACGCAACGUUUCAAUAUUUUAGUGCAAGAAAAAUAGAAAUGAUUUUAAUAUUUCGAGCUAAAAUUCGGAUGCUAUUGUCGGCCGGAACCUACAUUGGCCCCCUCGACGUUCGCCUUCGUGAAUGCGUUUCUCGCGUGUAAUUAGCUCGUCGUGCCUACUUCCGAAUCGGCGCAACAGUGGGAGAGUUCCUGAAGCCAUUUCCGGCUGGACACCGGCACCUUUUUGUUUCCCCCUUCGCGUCCCACGCAUGACGGCACACGGGGAAGUAGCGAUCAAAAAUGGAAAAGACAGAAGUUCGUCCGACCCCCCUCGAAGCGUCCCUCCUGCCCAGGUACAAUCGUUUCGUAGACCUUAUCGAGGUCGGCACCAUAUGUCACUUGUGGAGUAACGAGCAAACGCUGCAUCCCCCCGUACGGUAAUUGCCAACGGAACUGCCUAGUAAUUUCUCGGAACGAAUCGCUCCUCUUCGAGGAAGCGCCCGAGAACGCGUUAACUUGCCGUAAUUGAACGUUUACGUAAUGGUGAUUCAAGUGCGCAAUGAGGACGUUGACGAUACUCGAAAUACGCGGCCGCGCACGCGUGUAUUUGCUCGUCCUGCAGCAAUCUGUCACCCCGUUGCGCAAUUUGCAAUUUUAUCCUGUCAUCUGCGCGACAGUCAUCACUACUUUAUUCAGAACGUUCAUUCUUCUCGAUGCAGUACGUAUCUUCGCAUCGUCUUUUUUUUUCUUAGGAUGAAACAAGGCAUCCUCCAACGCAGGGGAUUUGCGCGUAAGCGAACUAUGGAAUAUUGUCGGCUUAUUGAGCGCAGGUGCUUUAAACUGCUCAGCUGUUGCUUCGAAUCUCGCGUGCGUGUGCCCGUGCACACUCGCACACACUCCCCCGCUUCUGUAUUAGUACAUAUUCAGGCUCUACGCCGUAAUGCAUACGUGCAACUCGCACAACCGUCUCGCUUACGCACUUAUAUACGCAACGUCAAUUGAACUGCAUGACGAUCGAAGCUCCUAACGGGCCGUGCCAUUGACGAAUGAAGAGCGAUUAUUUGCGCCUGUGUGUAGAAUGCAAGAGGAUUCUAUUAAAAUAUUUUCCACGCGCGAUAAAUAAUUGCAGCGACAAUGAGCGAGCAUUGUCGUCUUGUCCUUGUAAUAGAAAUCAAAUCGGCGUUGCAAGCGAUAAAUUUAGAAUAUUGAAAGGCAAAGAUCAGCUGUAUGAAUAUAGAGUCGCGGACGAGGUGGAUUCUAUUUUCCUCGUCCAAGCAAGCCAGAUGGGCCUGGUCUAUGAUCGAACGCGCAAUGAGUGGGCUAUCAAUUACUUUUUGUGCCCCUUUCUUUCGCCGAGUAUCGACCGACGACGGUAUGCAUCCCUCGACGAAGAGACCGCUCUAGGCGGAACUGCUUAUGUAUCGAAUAAGAUAUUCAACGCAAGUAAUUUUCUUAUGGUCGUUCCUCAGGCAAACCACCCCCUUCUUCGCUAACCCCCUCGUAACUCACUAUACUUUGAGUUUUUACUUUGAGCGGCCGCGGCGCGUUCGGACGAGGGUGAAAUACAUCGCUCGCAACUGUCAUCCGCGGUUUGUUCUUCUUCGUCGACGCUGCCGUCGUCGUCGCCGUCGUCACCGCCGUGGUCGAUCAUUGUAUUUUUAACUGGUAACAUUCUCUUUCUUGUGCUCUACUCGUGACAUGACGUCAUCUUGAGCUAACGUACCUUCUCCAAGUAGAUUGAUGUAUGCUGAGAAGAGAAAAUACAUACAUAUUAUACAUAUAUACACGUCCAACAAAUUGAAUCUUGAAAAAUCUCUGUCACUGUGUAUAUGUAUGUACACGUAUAUAUGAGUGUAUGUGUGUGUUAUGUAUAUGAGAGAUAACGCGAUAAAACAAUAAAAAAGAAAGAAAAAGUAGAAAGCAAAAUUUAUACUUUCUAGAAAUGAUACGAAAA